AGUGAACGCUGGCGGUAGGCCUAACACAUGCAAGUCGAACGGCAGCACAGUAAGAGCUUGCUCUUACGGGUGGCGAGUGGCGGACGGGUUAGGAAUACAUCGGAAUCUACUUUUUCGUGGGGGAUAACGUAGGGAAACUUACGCUAAUACCGCAUACGACCUACGGGUGAAAGCAGGGGAUCUUCGGACCUUGCGCGAUUGAAUGAGCCGAUGUCGGAUUAGCUAGUUGGCGGGGUAAAGGCCCACCAAGGCGACGAUCCGUAGCUGGUCUGAGAGGAUGAUCAGCCACACUGGAACUGAGAAACGGUACAGACUCCUACGGGAGGCAGCAGUGGGGAAUAUUGGACAAUGGGCGCAAGCAUGAUCCAGCCAUACCGCGUGGGUGAAGAAGGCCUUCGGGUUGUAAAGCCCUUUUGUUGGGAAAGAAAAGCAGCAGGUUAAUACCCCGCUGUUCUGACGGUACCCAAAGAAUAAGCACCGGCUAACUUCGUG
rnacentral:rRNA from 1 species